AUUGAACGCUGGCGGCAUGCCUUACACGUGCAAGUCGAACGGCAGCGGGGGAGAAGCUUGCUUCUCCUGCCGGCGAGUGGCGAACGGGUGAGUAAUACAUCGGAACGUGCCCUGUAGUGGGGGAUAACUAGUCGAAAGAUUAGCUAAUACCGCAUACGACCUGAGGGUGAAAGUGGGGGACCGCAAGGCCUCAUGCUAUAGGAGCGGCCGAUGUCUGAUUAGCUAGUUGGGGGGGUAAAGGCCCACCAAGGCGACGAUCAGUAGCUGGUCUGGGAGGACGAUCAGCCACACUGGGACUGAGACACGGCCCAGACUCCUACGGGAGGCAGCAGUGGGGAAUUUUGGACAAUGGGCGAAAGCCUGAUCCAGCAAUGCCGCGUGUGUGAAGAAGGCCUUCGGGUUGUAAAGCACUUUUGUCCGGAAAGAAAUGGCUCUGGUUAAUACCUGGGGUCGAUGACGGUACCGGAAGAAUAAGGACCGGCUAACUACGUGCCAGCCGCCGCCGUAACAC
rnacentral:rRNA from 1 species